rnacentral:rRNA from 1 species
AAAUUGAAGAGUUUGAUCAUGGCUCAGAUUGAACGCUGGCGGCAGGCCUAACACAUGCAAGUCGAACGGUAACAGGAAGCAGCUUGCUGCUUCGCUGACGAGUGGCGGACGGGUGAGUAAUGUCUGGGAAACUGCCUGAUGGAGGGGGAUAACUACUGGAAACGGUAGCUAAUACCGCAUAAUGUCGCAAGACCAAAGAGGGGGACCUUCGGGCCUCUUGCCAUCGGAUGUGCCCAGAUGGGAUUAGCUUGUUGGUGGGGUAACGGCUCACCAAGGCGACGAUCUCUAGCUGGUCUGAGAGGAUGACCAGCCACACUGGAACUGAGACACGGUCCAGACUCCUACGGGAG